GCAAGUCGAACGGCAGCACAGAGGAGCUUGCUCCUUGGGUGGCGAGUGGCGGACGGGUGAGGAAAACGUCGGAAUCUGCCUAUUUGUGGGGGAUAACGUAGGGAAACUUACGCUAAUACCGCAUACGACCUACGGGUGAAAGCGGAGGACCUUCGGGCUUCGCGCAGAUAGAUGAGCCGACGUCGGAUUAGCUAGUUGGGGGGGUAAAGGCCCACCAAGGCGACGAUCCGUAGCUGGUCUGAGAGGAUGAUCAGCCACACUGGAACUGAGACACGGUCCAGACUCCUACGGGAGGCAGCAGUGGGGAAUAUUGGACAAUGGGCGCAAGCCUGAUCCAGCCAUGCCGCGUGUGUGAAGAAGGCCUUCGGGUUGUAAAGCACUUUUGUCCGGAAAGAAAAGCACUGGGUUAAUACCCUGGUGUCAUGACGGUACCGGAAGAAUAAGCACCGGCUAACUUCGUGCCAGCAGCCGCGGUAAUACGAAGGGUGCAAGCGUUACUCGGAAUUACUGGGCGUAAAGCGUGCGUAGGCGGUUUGUUAAGUCUGAUGUGAAAGCCCUGGGCUCAACCUGGGAAUGGCAUUGGAUACUGGCAAUCUAGAAUGUGGUAGAGGGUGGCGGAAUUCCCGGUGUAGCAGUGAAAUGCGUAGAUAUCGGGAGGAACAUCCGUGGCGAAGGCGGCCACCUGGACCAAC
rnacentral:rRNA from 1 species